rnacentral:rRNA from 1 species
GAUGAACGCUGGCGGCGUGCCUAAUACAUGCAAGUCGAGCGAACAGAUGAGGAGCUUGCUCCUCUGACGUUAGCGGCGGACGGGUGAGUAACACGUGGAUAACCUACCUAUAAGACUGGGAUAACUUCGGGAAACCGGAGCUAAUACCGGAUAAUAUAUUGAACCGCAUGGUUCAAUAGUGAAAGAGGGUUUUGCUGUCCCUUUUAGAUGGAUCCGCGCCGCAUUAGCUAGUUGGUAAGGUAACGGCUUACCAAGGCAACGAUGCGUAGCCGACCUGAGAGGGUGAUCGGCCACACUGGAACUGAGACACGGUCCAGACUCCUACGGGAGGCAGCAGUAGGGAAUCUUCCGCAAUGGGCGAAAGCCUGACGGAGCAACGCCGCGUGAGUGAUGAAGGUCUUCGGACCGUAAAACUCUGUUAUUAGGGAAGAACAAAUGUGUAAGUAACUAUGCACGUCUUGACGGUACCUAAUCAGAAAGCCACGGCUAACUACGUG